rnacentral:lncRNA from 1 species
ACCACCCUGCAUUCACCAGAGGAACUAGAUUACCAAAACCAAGACACUAAGGAGAAAUUUAUUCAUUAAAGAGAUACUCUUAGAAGAAAUAAAAAUUAAGUCAAUGGGAAGUGUCUUCAAUAUAUAUCCCAUUGACUAGGGCAAAAGCAGAAAAUGAGUAAAAGUGCAUUCAAGGUCUAGGAAAUGGUAUAUAUGAAAGCAUGGAAGUAUAAUUGUUCUUAAAUCUGUAGUAGGUCAUUUAUGAUGGGUGAAACAGAACACAAAAGGGAGUGUUAGAACACAAGGCUGGAAAUACAAACAUAUGAUAGAACAGGUGUUUGGGUUUCAUUUGGUUGCCAGUGGGAACCGUUAUAAAGCAUAACUAUGACAGUGCGGCAAUCUGUGUUCUAAAAGAAUGACUCUGGCAGUAGUGUGGAGGGUGGACUGGAAGGAGUAUUUGCUGAAGACCUGCCAGAGGGCAAAUUACCAAAUCAACAGUCUCCUUGGAUGAUAAAUCUCGAGCUCUUCAGCAGAACAGCAAACCAGCUGCUAUUCUCUGAGCUGCCUCAUGGAAGGGCCCAACUGGCAAGCAACUGAGACAAGCAAUCGUCAGAGAAGAAUGGAUGUACCCCAUCCAAAGUCCUGCAAUGAACUUGAAUGAUCCUGCAAUCUCAGAAUUGAAAGAAUCCUAUCAAAAACAAAGAACUUAUGAGCACAUACUGUACAGUAGAACUUGAGAUGACUGCAGCUCUUGUCUGCACCUUGAAGAUUUGCAAGAGUCCCUGAACUGGAAGACCGCACUAAGCUAUGCUCAGUUUCCUAACCCACUGUAACUGUAAGAUAAUAAAUGUUAUUCUUUUAAGCUUCUAAGUUUUAGGGCAUUUAUUACACAGCAAUAGAUAAAUUAUACACAGGCCAUAAAAUGUCCCUUGUGGAUAUUAAUAUCUUCCAUCUCUGAAUGAUACCACUCGUUUUGUAAGUUAAUCAUUAAUUGUCUUGCAUUGUUUACUUAGUGUUAAUUGGUCAUGUUCAAAUGAUGUUCUACAGGGCCCUAAGGAAUAUAUGUGUAUGAAUAUGUUUGCUUUUUGUAUGCAGUGUGAGUGUGUGAUUGGGGUGAAAGUUUAAAUAAAGAAGUUAGGUAGACAGGGCUCUGAGUGCAUUUUUUCUACCUUAGCAAGAACAGUUUCUCUUUUAUCUGCUAAAUGUAUUAGGUUGGUGCAACAGUAAUUGUGAUUUUUGCAUUGUUGAAAUUUGCAGAUUGAUAUUGGAAUAUGUUCUUAAAUAAAUGUGGUUAUGCUAUACAUCA